UACGGGAGGCAGCAGUGGGGAAUAUUGCACAAUGGGCGAAAGCCUGAUGCAGCUAUGCCGCGUGUAUGAAGAAGGCCUUAGGGUUGUAAAGUACUUUCAUCGGGGAGGAAAAACAAAACUAAUAAUUUUAUUUCUUGACGUUACCCGAAAAAGAAGCACCGGCUAACUCCGUGCCAGCAGCCGCGGUAAUACGGAGGGUGCUAGCGUUAAUCAGAAUUACUGGGCGUAAAGAGCACGUAGGUGGUUUUUUAAGUCAGAUGUGAAAUCCCUGGGCUUAACCUAGGAACUGCAUUUUGAAACUGAAAUACUAGAGUAUCGUAGAGGGAGGUAGAAUUCUAGGUGUAGCGGUGAAAUGCGUAGAUAUCUGGAGGAAUACCUGUGGCGAAAGCGGCCUCCUAAACGAAUACUGACACUGAGGUGCGAAAGCGUGGGGAGCAAACGAGGAUUAGACUACC
rnacentral:rRNA from 1 species